AGUGAACGCUGGCGGUAGGCCUAACACAUGCAAGUCGAACGGCAGCACAGUAAGAGCUUGCUCUUACGGGUGGCGAGUGGCGGACGGGUGAGGAAUACAUCGGAAUCUACUUUUUCGUGGGGGAUAACGUAGGGAAACUUACGCUAAUACCGCAUACGACCUACGGGUGAAAGCAGGGGAUCUUCGGACCUUGCGCGAUUGAAUGAGCCGAUGUCGGAUUAGCUAGUUGGCGGGGUAAAGGCCCACCAAGGCGACGACCCGUAGCUGGUCUGAGAGGAUGAUCAGCCACACUGGAACUGAGACACGGUCCAGACUCCUACGGGAGGCAGCAGUGGGGAAUAUUGGACAAUGGGCGCAAGCCUGAUCCAGCCAUACCGCGUGGGUGAAGAAGGCCUUCGGGUUGUAAAGCCCUUUUGUUGGGAAAGAAAAGCAGCAGGUUAAUACCCCGCUGUUCUGACGGUACCCAAAGAAUAAGCACCGGCUAACUUCGU
rnacentral:rRNA from 1 species